CUCCAAAAAAAUAAAUAAGUACAAAACUAGCAAAAUUAAAAUGACUAUAAAUAGCUAAAAAAUGGCUUAAAUUUUUGAAAUUUUUACCAUGUCUAAAAAAAGCAAAUAUAAGUUUUCUAUUAUUGAAUUUCGAUUAUUUACGAAUAUUUUUAAUUUAAUUAGAACAAAUAACAACAUUGAAAAAUAAUAGUUUUAAUUUCGUAAAUUUUUCGUUUUUCUCACGUUUUACCCUGGUUUUUCCCAGGUAUUAUGAAAACCACUUGGAAAAUAAAAAUAUGAUCUUCCAAAAGAUCCAUUGUGAUAAUCUAUACAGGUAUAGGUAUAUCAAUAUUUGUACCAUUCGAUUGAUGGGAAUGGAGCAAUACACAGUGUUGAAGAUUAGAGCACUGUAUUAUAAUAUCGAUGUCAUCAUGAAAAAAUAAUCAUAACGGUAUUAUUACGCAACAGUCGAACAAUGUCCGAAUAAUACACAAUGUAGUAUAGGUAGUAAAAUGAAUACUAUAAACGUCAUAACACGUAUAGUCAACGGUGCAAUAUUAAUUCUUUUGUGGUAGGUAAAUUACUCAAUACGGUCUUUAAAAACAAUUAAAAAGGUUAUGUCGUAUUUAAAAAAUUAUGUAAUCGUCGUUUCCUUUAUCGUUUCUUGUACAAGACUCUUUUUUUGCAAUGAACAUUUCAAAAUUCUAAAUAUAGCGAAAAAUAUAUUAGUUUUACUAUAUUAUGAUGUGUGCAUUUGGUAUCAUUUGUAUCUCUCUGUAAACAAUUCUUCUACCAAAAAUGUUGCCCUAAUUUUUAAAAUGUGAUGUCAGAAAAUGAUUUUCCAAAUGCUUCACGAGGAUACCUUAACGAUAUUUCUAUAGAAUUGUUGUACACAUGAUAAAAAUAUAAAAAAAAAAUUCAAACAUCCUAGUAAGACCAAUACAUACUUGGCUACAUUCAGAAUCUAAAAAUUACAUGAGAAAUUUAUAAAAAUCAACGAUUGAACUGAGCACUUCGUUCUUAGUUUCAAAGAUUUAAUUUCACUAUUUCAGUUUUAAUGUACACAUUAAAAUACUUGUAUAUUAAAAAUUUUUUAAAAAUAAUGGACGAACUUUGGUUGAAGUUCCCGGAAGAAAACUUUUAAAUAUUCGAUUUCCGUUACGCAUAUAUCUUAAUUAAAAUUAAUUGUAAUCGAAUGCUGUAC